rnacentral:rRNA from 1 species
GUGAUAUUCCAGAGUAUCUUUUUCAUGUAUAAUAAGUACUCCCUCUGUAAACUAAUAUAAGAGCGUUUAGAUCACUAAAAUAGUAAUCUAAACACUCUUAUAUUAGUUUACGGAGGGAGUACCUUCCAGCUAAGUGAAGAUGCAUCUUUUUCAGCAUGUGCAAACUAAUUUUUGGUUAUAUCUAUUUCGACGAUGUGUUUGUAUAUCUGACAGAAGUAGCUCUUUUUUGUUUAUGAAUAUGAGCUGGACCAUCCAAAAACACUUCGUUCAAAUGCAGAGAUGUUGGAUGUAGUAUCUGAUUAUCUGUUCUCCAUUUUUGCAUCCUGUAUGCAUCUCACAUUCUUUUUAUUUUUAGUGUGAUAAAAAUAUUCUUUUUUGAACAUGCUAUCACUUUGUCAUAUCAUGGAGAAACUUCUCUCUUUCUCUUAUUUGGAUACAAUGUGUUCCCUAUGGAGAAAACAUGGUGUUUUGGUCUGUUACAUCUUAUUUUUCAGGUGCCCCCAGCUAUCAGGUUUGUAUUGGAUAGAGUAAUACCACCUUAUUUACUGGCAAAGGGUCUGAUUUUACAUGUAAGCCUACAAAAUAUCCUUGGUGAUGCUAAAAUUUAUCUUUUUGUUAGGAUUUUCUCAUUGUAACUGAAAAGUCUGAUCCUUGGUCAUAUCUGUUUAGAGAUUAUUGAUGAGAUAUAUGUUGGACAGUUUCGUGCCUGCUGAUGAAACCUAAUUUAAGUAUCUUGAGGUAUUGAACUACCAUUUGAAUGUUAAUAGCAGGACUGAGGCAGUAUGUUCUAUUUCCUUUUUAGAAGUAAAAUAUCCAAGGACUCUGGAUGAAAAACAAUUACAAUCCUUAUCCACAAAUAUUUUUAUAUCAUGGUAAUUCCAACAUCAUCUGUCACCCUCUGGACUGCAGGGCGAGAUAUCGAUCAAAUAUGAACCUGUCUAUCUGCUCAGACCAGGUGAUUAAUCUCUCCUUGCUAUUUUUCUUGAGGUGUGUGCAUCUAUCUGGACAAUUUAAUGAAAAUAUAUUGCUCAUACAAACCAUCACUACAUGUUAGUUCACUUUAACCCUAAUCAGUCAAAAGGUUAUCCCUUUUGCAUUUCAUGGACAUAAAGGUUUGGUGUUGACUGUCGAUCUUUUGUUAACAUGGGACCUUAAUACCGUAGGGAGUGUUUUUUUAUAUGUUUGGCACAACUGUAUAUUCCUCUGUUCCAGAUCCAGAUCCAGCUCUGUUCGUAGUUCAUGCCUGCUAAGACAUGUUCAAUUCCUUCCGAUAUGCUUUUGAAUAUGUUUUCAGUGAUGCCAUAUAGCUAUAAAUACUUUAUUUGCAUAAGGCCAGUAGGAUAUAUGCUUUAAUGCCCUUAAUUAGUUCUGAAAUGUUUAGCAUGGUCUUUGUCAAUCUGCUUUAUCCCAUUCAAAAAAGCCACAUGGUUGACUCUUGUGCUAUGCCUAGGCUAUCUAGAAACUGUUGAUUUCUGUGUGUGUGGAUACUGUUCUCUUUCUACUUGGCUCUGUUCAUAUCUUCAUGAUAUUGUACCUUCUUUUCAUUGUUAGCUUGCUAAAGGAAUGUUAGAUUCUUGUUGCGUGUCCAUUCCAAGGCCUCCCUCGUUAUUCUUAAUGCACACUGUAUUUGUGCCUUCUACCAGCCCCCUCGGUCUAUCUUUCCAAAAACAUCCUCUUGCUGAAGUAAUGUUUCAGAAGCUCGGCCUCCCCAAACCAGUCUACCAUGUGCGGCUGCUUGAGCAGAGAGGAUAUAGAUCACAGGUUGAAUUACCGUACAAAAGAAUGUUUCCAAGCUUCAGCACGCCGGGUUAGACUGUCAAGCCCCAUAUGUGUGGAUGGGAGGACAUCAAUGAAUUCUGCAGCCGAACGAGCCAUUGAAUAUAUGCAAACCAGUGAGAGCAAGGUGUUUGUUGACUAUAACUACUACCAGCUGCAACAGCAGAAACAGGCACACGAAGGAGUAUCAGGAAGGCUGUUAGAAUAAAUAGAAGAAAUCAACCAGCGCAACCAAACUAUCAAACAGAUAACUAGAGAAGCAUCCAACUAUCUGGAAGAAGUGCAUGAUGCAUCAAACAAAAUUCAUGGUCUUGCUGCCAUUGCCUUGGACCAUGUUUCCUCAGUGUCUCUUUUUGAUUUCAGGCAGGCUAUUCUAGAGAUUCAUGAUGCAGUUGUUGCACUUCAAAACACUACAUCUACUGCACGUGUCUCACUAGAGGAAAAAGGCAUGUACUCAGACGAUGAUGUGGCAGAUCCAGUCUACAGUGGCGUUUCUGGUGAUGAAACUGAUGAAUACUAUCAUCAUGAUGACUAUGGUCACUAUGUGCGAUCCCCAUGAGCAUGUUGUCCAGCCUGCUGAGCUAUCUGGUCAACAUGUGAAGCUCUAUAUGCAUAGCUUCACCACGAAGGCUUGCUUCUUCUUAGCAAGAACCAGUCUGGUUACUAUGUUUAGUCUACUGGUUUAUCUAAAUAAAAUGUGAAGCUCUAUGCUUACAGCUUCACUUUAGGAACUGUCUCCUUUUCAGACUACUCUCUGGUCAUGUAUAAAUAUGG